AACUCUUAGCGGUGGAUCACUCGGCUCGUGCGUCAAUGAAGAACGCAGCUAGCUGCGAGAACUAAUGUGAAUUGCAGGACACAUUGAUCAUCGACACUUCGAAAGCACUUUGCGGCCCCAGGUUCCUCCUGCGGCUACGUCUGUCUGAGGGUCG
rnacentral:rRNA from 1 species